CGCCACAGUCCUUCACAUCCAUCAUCCCUCAGAUCACGAACACACUCGCGGAGAUCACGGCACGCGUGUGUGUGUCUGCUGUAAUUUCACG